rnacentral:lncRNA from 1 species
GACUUUAAAACAAAUCAGAGAUAUUUAGAAUUAUUUACUCUUUAAUUCUUUCCCAUAGGCCACUUGGUACAACCCCUUGUCAGUCAGAAUGCUUCAUUGAUCUCAGUCAGAAGUUCUGCUUGAAAACUGAUGGCACAACCUACCCCCAUACGUAGGAGCAGGAUGCUGAUUUAAGCAGUGGCAGGGGUCCCUCUGGAUCAAGCCUGUCAUCUCUUUUUUUUACUUCGUCGUGUGACAAAGGAUAUUUGCUCCACACAGCAAAGGGCCCUACAUGAGAUCCACUUCCCUAUCCAGAAAUGCAGCAGCAGGCUUCGCUUACCUGGAAUAACUUAAAAGUAUUCAUUCUGUUAGCUAGGGGAAACUGGGUUAGCCUUCUGAUUCAGUAUGAAAAGACAUCUGUUCUGGAACAAUUACCAGCUUCUCCACACUUCCUAUGCUCAAAGUUGCCAGCUGCAGGAUUUGAAUUGAAAAUACCAGGAAUGAUUUUGUGUCUAAGUGCAUGAACUGCAUCUGCAAAUUACAUCCUGUUUGAAAUAUUUUGUGGUUUAAUCUAGUUUCAUCUAAACAAGUCGCUGUCACUGGCUUGAGGUGAAGCGUAGAUGAAGAGAGGCUGUGAAAAUCCCUCCCCAACAGUUCAGCAGCUGUACCACAAACUUAGUUUUUAGCAACCUUCCUAUUACACACAAGUCUCUACAACAGUCUCAGAAAUAUGCCCAAACAGACUCUUAUACAGAGACCUUUGACAAUAAAUAUGGAUCAAAUUUAGAAUGUGUCA